AUUGAACGCUAGCGGGAUGCUUUACACAUGCAAGUCGAACGAGUGGCGGACGGGUGAGUAAUAUAUCGGAACGUGCCCAGUAGCGGGGGAUAACUACUCGAAAGAGUGGCUAAUACCGCCUACUAUUGGAGCGGCCGAUAUCGGAUUAGCUGGUUUGUGGGGUAAAGGCUCACCAAGGCCACGCUCCGUAGCUGGUUUGAGAGGAGGACCAGCGAAACGUGGAGUGUGACACGGCCCAGACGCCUACGGGAGGCAGCAGUGGGGAAUUUUGGAGAAUGGGGGAAACCCUGAUCCAGCCAUCCCGCGUGUAUGAGAAGGCCUUAGGGUUGUAAAGUACUUUCAGUCGUGAGGCGUUACCGACAGAAGAAGCACCGGCUAACUCCGUGCCAGCAGCCGCGGUAAUAC
rnacentral:rRNA from 1 species